UAAACCAGCCUCAAUUACAGCCUACAUCAUUCAAAAGAUCAAGACUAAGGUGAUGUACAUGUGAAAUUCAUAUUCAACAAGCAAAAGAGAAGAACUCAAGUGUUUUGUGUAGAUCUCCACAUAAACAAGUCAGACAGUAAAUUCUAAAUUAUGAUUAGCAGAUGUGCUAGAACUUUAAACGAAGUCACACAUUAUAGCUUAAAGCAUGAAUUUCCUAAGCUGUAUAGACUUGCCUGAAUUUGUUCGCUGUUUCCAGCUGUAAUAUUUGAGAUGGUCCAGCAAGCUUCUUUCUUAAU
rnacentral:misc_RNA from 1 species